rnacentral:tRNA from 1 species
UCCUGUGUAAGUUAAGAAAACUAUAGACCUGUGGAGUCUAAAAUCACAUGAGUGCUAGGAU